GAUGAACGCUGGCGGCGUGCCUAAUACAUGCAAGUCGAGCGAACGGACGAUAAGCUUGCUUCUCUGAUGUUAGCGGCGGACGGGUGAGUAACACGUGGAUAACCUACCUAUAAGACUGGGAUAACUUCGGGAAACCGGAGCUAAUACCGGAUGAUAUUUUGAACCGCAGGGUUCAAAAGUGAAAGACGGUCUUGCUGUCACGUAUAGAUGGAUCCGCGCUGCAUUAGCUAGUUGGUAAGGUAACGGCUUACCAAGGCAACGAGGCAUAGCCGACCUGAGAGGCUGAUCGCCCACACUGGAACUGGGCCACGGUCCAGACUCCUACGGGAGGCAGCAGUAGGGAACCUUCCGCAGUGGGCGAAAGCCUGACGGAGCAACGCCGCGUGAGUGAUGAAGGUCUUCGGAUCGUAAAACUCUGUUAUUAGGGAAGAACAUAUGUGUAAGUAACUGUGCCCAUCUUGACGGUACCUAAUCAGAAAGCCACGGCUAACUACGUG
rnacentral:rRNA from 1 species